rnacentral:rRNA from 1 species
CCUACGGGAGGCAGCAGUGGGGAAUAUUGCACAAUGGGCGAAAGCCUGAUGCAGCAACGCCGCGUGAGUGAUGAAGGCCUUCGGGUCGUAAAACUCUGUCCUCAAGGAAGAUAAUGACGGUACUUGAGGAGGAAGCCCCGGCUAACUACGUGCCAGCAGCCGCGGUAACACGUAGGGGGCUAGCGUUAUCCGGAUUUACUGGGCGUAAAGGGGGCGUAGGCGGUCUUUCAAGUCAGGAGUGAAAGGUUGCGGCUCAACCGUAGUAAGCUCUUGAAACUGGGAGACUUGAGUGCAGGAGAGGAGAGUGGAAUUCGUGGUGUAGCGGUGAAAUGCGUAGAUAUUAGGAAGAACACCGGUUGCGAAGGCAGCUCUCUGGACUGUAACUGACGCUGAGGCACGAAAGCGUGGGGAGCAAACAGGAUUAGAUACCCCAGUAGUC